GACGAACCGUGCGAACGUUAUUCGGAAUCACUGGGCGUAAAGGGCGCGUAGGCGGACUUUUAAGUCGGGGGUGAAAGCCCAGGGCUCAACCCUGGAAUUGCCUUCGAUACUGAGAGUCUUGAGUUCGGAAGAGGUUGGUGGAACUGCGAGUGUAGAGGUGAAAUUCGUAGAUAUUCGCAAGAACACCAGUGGCGAAGGCGGCCAACUGGUCCGAUACUGACGCUGAGGCGCGAAAGCGUGGGGAGCCAAACAGGG
rnacentral:rRNA from 1 species